rnacentral:rRNA from 1 species
UGACCGCUAGCUACAGGCUUAACACAUGCAAGUCGCGGGGCAGCAUGGGGGUUGCUUGCAAUCCCCGAUGGCGACCGGCGCACGGGUGAGUAACGCGUAUCCAACCUGCCCUUCACCACGGGAUAACCCGGCGAAAGUCGGACUAAUACCGUAUGUUGUCCAUUGACGGCAUCCGAUUUGGACGAAAGGUUUGGCGGUGAAGGAUGGGGAUGCGUCCGAUUAGCUGGACGGCGGGGUGACGGCCCACCGUGGCGACGAUCGGUAGGGGUUCUGAGAGGAAGGUCCCCCACACUGGAACUGAGACACGGUCCAGACUCCUACGGGAGGCAGCAGUGAGGAAUAUUGGUCAAUGGGCGUAAGCCUGAACCAGCCAAGUAGCGUGCAGGAUGACGGCCCUAUGGGUUGUAAACUGCUUUUAUGCGGGGAUAAAGUGGCCCACGUGUGGGUUUUUGCAGGUACCGCAUGAAUAAGGACCGGCUAAUUCCGUG